GGUUAAGCGACUAAGCGUACACGGUGGAUGCCCUGGCAGUCAGAGGCGAUGAAGGACGUGCUAAUCUGCGAUAAGCGUCGGUAAGGUGAUAUGAACCGUUAUAACCGGCGAUUUCCGAAUGGGGAAACCCAGUGUGAUUCGUCACACUAUCAUUAACUGAAUCCAUAGGUUAAUGAGGCGAACCGGGGGAACUGAAACAUCUAAGUACCCCGAGGAAAAGAAAUCAACCGAGAUUCCCCCAGUAGCGGCGAGCGAACGGGGAGCAGCCCAGAGCCUGAAUCAGUGUGUGUGUUAGUGGAAGCGUCUGGAAAGGCGCGCGAUACAGGGUGACAGCCCCGUACACAAAAAUGCACAUGCUGUGAGCUCGAUGAGUAGGGCGGGACACGUGGUAUCCUGUCUGAAUAUGGGGGGACCAUCCUCCAAGGCUAAAUACUCCUGACUGACCGAUAGUGAACCAGUACCGUGAGGGAAAGGCGAAAAGAACCCCGGCGAGGGGAGUGAAAAAGAACCUGAAACCGUGUACGUACAAGCAGUGGGAGCACAGAGCAAUCUGUGUGACUGCGUACCUUUUGUAUAAUGGGUCAGCGACUUAUAUUCUGUAGCAAGGUUAACCGAAUAGGGGAGCCGAAGGGAAACCGAGUCUUAACUGGGCGUUAAGUUGCAGGGUAUAGACCCGAAACCCGGUGAUCUAGCCAUGGGCAGGUUGAAGGUUGGGUAACACUAACUGGAGGACCGAACCGACUAAUGUUGAAAAAUUAGCGGAUGACUUGUGGCUGGGGGUGAAAGGCCAAUCAAACCGGGAGAUAGCUGGUUCUCCCCGAAAGCUAUUUAGGUAGCGCCUCGUGAAUUCAUCUCCGGGGGUAGAGCACUGUUUCGGCAAGGGGGUCAUCCCGACUUACCAACCCGAUGCAAACUGCGAAUACCGGAGAAUGUUAUCACGGGAGACACACGGCGGGUGCUAACGUCCGUCGUGAAGAGGGAAACAACCCAGACCGCCAGCUAAGGUCCCAAAGUCAUGGUUAAGUGGGAAACGAUGUGGGAAGGCCCAGACAGCCAGGAUGUUGGCUUAGAAGCAGCCAUCAUUUAAAGAAAGCGUAAUAGCUCACUGGUCGAGUCGGCCUGCGCGGAAGAUGUAACGGGGCUAAACCAUGCACCGAAGCUGCGGCAGCGACGCUUAUGCGUUGUUGGGUAGGGGAGCGUUCUGUAAGCCUGCGAAGGUGUGCUGUGAGGCAUGCUGGAGGUAUCAGAAGUGCGAAUGCUGACAUAAGUAACGAUAAAGCGGGUGAAAAGCCCGCUCGCCGGAAGACCAAGGGUUCCUGUCCAACGUUAAUCGGGGCAGGGUGAGUCGACCCCUAAGGCGAGGCCGAAAGGCGUAGUCGAUGGGAAACAGGUUAAUAUUCCUGUACUUGGUGUUACUGCGAAGGGGGGACGGAGAAGGCUAUGUUGGCCGGGCGACGGUUGUCCCGGUUUAAGCGUGUAGGCUGGUUUUCCAGGCAAAUCCGGAAAAUCAAGGCUGAGGCGUGAUGACGAGGCACUACGGUGCUGAAGCAACAAAUGCCCUGCUUCCAGGAAAAGCCUCUAAGCAUCAGGUAACAUCAAAUCGUACCCCAAACCGACACAGGUGGUCAGGUAGAGAAUACCAAGGCGCUUGAGAGAACUCGGGUGAAGGAACUAGGCAAAAUGGUGCCGUAACUUCGGGAGAAGGCACGCUGAUAUGUAGGUGAAGUCCCUCGCGGAUGGAGCUGAAAUCAGUCGAAGAUACCAGCUGGCUGCAACUGUUUAUUAAAAACACAGCACUGUGCAAACACGAAAGUGGACGUAUACGGUGUGACGCCUGCCCGGUGCCGGAAGGUUAAUUGAUGGGGUUAGCGCAAGCGAAGCUCUUGAUCGAAGCCCCGGUAAACGGCGGCCGUAACUAUAACGGUCCUAAGGUAGCGAAAUUCCUUGUCGGGUAAGUUCCGACCUGCACGAAUGGCGUAAUGAUGGCCAGGCUGUCUCCACCCGAGACUCAGUGAAAUUGAACUCGCUGUGAAGAUGCAGUGUACCCGCGGCAAGACGGAAAGACCCCGUGAACCUUUACUAUAGCUUGACACUGAACAUUGAGCCUUGAUGUGUAGGAUAGGUGGGAGGCUUUGAAGUGUGGACGCCAGUCUGCAUGGAGCCGACCUUGAAAUACCACCCUUUAAUGUUUGAUGUUCUAACGUUGACCCGUGAUCCGGGUUGCGGACAGUGUCUGGUGGGUAGUUUGACUGGGGCGGUCUCCUCCUAAAGAGUAACGGAGGAGCACGAAGGUUGGCUAAUCCUGGUCGGACAUCAGGAGGUUAGUGCAAUGGCAUAAGCCAGCUUGACUGCGAGCGUGACGGCGCGAGCAGGUGCGAAAGCAGGUCAUAGUGAUCCGGUGGUUCUGAAUGGAAGGGCCAUCGCUCAACGGAUAAAAGGUACUCCGGGGAUAACAGGCUGAUACCGCCCAAGAGUUCAUAUCGACGGCGGUGUUUGGCACCUCGAUGUCGGCUCAUCACAUCCUGGGGCUGAAGUAGGUCCCAAGGGUAUGGCUGUUCGCCAUUUAAAGUGGUACGCGAGCUGGGUUUAGAACGUCGUGAGACAGUUCGGUCCCUAUCUGCCGUGGGCGCUGGAGAACUGAGGGGGGCUGCUCCUAGUACGAGAGGACCGGAGUGGACGCAUCACUGGUGUUCGGGUUGUCAUGCCAAUGGCACUGCCCGGUAGCUAAAUGCGGAAGAGAUAAGUGCUGAAAGCAUCUAAGCACGAAACUUGCCCCGAGAUGAGUUCUCCCUGACUCCUUGAGAGUCCUGAAGGAACGUUGAAGACGACGACGUUGAUAGGCCGGGUGUGUAAGCGCAGCGAUGCGUUGAGCUAACCGGUACUAAUGAACCGUGAGGCUUAACCUU
rnacentral:rRNA from 1 species